CAGGCCUAACACAUGAAGUCGAACGGCAGCACGGGAGCUUGCUCCUGGUGGCGAGUGGCGGACGGUGAGUAAUGCAUAGGAAUCUGCCCAUAAGUGGGGGACAACCUGGUGAAACCAGGCUAAUACCGCAUACGCCCUACGGGGGAAAGCGGGGGAUCUUCGACCUCGCGCUGAUGGAGGAGCCUAUGUCUGAUUAGCUUGUUGGUGGGGUACGGCCUACCAAGGCGACGAUCAGUAGCUAGUCUGAGAGGAUGAUCAGCACACUGGGACUGAGACACGGCCCAGACUCCUACGGGAGGCAGCAGUGGGAAUAUUGGACAAUGGGCGCAAGCCUGAUCCAGCAAUGCCGCGUGUGUGAGAAGGCCUUAGGGUUGUAAAGCACUUUCAGUAGUGAGGAAAAGUUUAAGUUAAUACCCUUGAACCCUGACGUUUACUACAGAAGAAGCACCGGCUAACUCGUGCCAGCAGCCGCGG
rnacentral:rRNA from 1 species